rnacentral:rRNA from 1 species
AGGAUCAUUACUGAACUGUUGACACGAGUUGUUGCUGGUCCUCGAAAGGGGGCAUGUGCACGCUCUGUUUACACAUCCACUCACACCUGUGCACCCUCUGUAGUUCUGUGGCACUGGGGACUCUGUCCUCUUGCUGUGGUCCUACGUCUUUACACACACACCGUAAUACAGUCUCAUGGAAUGUAUGUCGCGUUUAACGCAAUACAAUACAACUUUCAGCAACGGAUCUCUUGGCUCUCGCAUCGAUGAAGAACGCAGCGAAAUGCGAUAAGUAAUGUGAAUUGCAGAAUUCAGUGAAUCAUCGAAUCUUUGAACGCACCUUGCGCCCUUUGGCUAUUCCGAAGGGCAUGCCUGUUUGAGUAUCAUGAACACCUCAACUCUCAUGGCCUGCCAUGAUGAGCUUGGAUUUUGGGGGUCUUGCCGGCCUAACCGUCGGCUCCUCUCAAAUGAAUCAGCUUGCCAGUGUUUGGUGGCAUCACAGGUGUGAUAACUAUCUACGCUUGUGGUUCUCCACCAGGUAACCUUCAGCAAUGGAGGUUCGCUGGAGCUCACAGACGUCUCUCCUCAGGGAAG